rnacentral:rRNA from 1 species
GUCUCACAGUUUGAUCCUGGCUCAGAACGAACGCUGGCGGCGCGCUUAACACAUGCAAGUCGAACGAGAAGGCGUAGCAAUACGCUUGUACAGUGGCGAACGGGUGAGUAACACGUGGGUAACCUACCCUCGAGCGGGGAAUAACCGCCGAAAGGCGGGCUAAUGCCGCAUACGCUUCCAGUCCUUCGGGGUUGGAAGGAAAGCUGUAGCUAGGCUAUGGCACUCAAGGAUGGGCUCACGUCCUAUCAGCUUGUUGGUAGGGUAAUGGCCUACCAAGGCUCCGACGGGUAGCUGGUCUGAGAGGACGAUCAGCCACACUGGCACUGCGACACGGGCCAGACUCC